rnacentral:rRNA from 1 species
GACGAGCCUGAUCUGCCAAGUGACUAUAUUGUUAAUUGGAAACGGGACCCUAACCGUGCAAAGGUAGCAUAAUCAUUUGCCUUUUAAUUGGAGGCUGGUAUGAAUGGUUUGACGAGAGCUGUGCUGUCUCUUCUAAAAUACUUAGAAAUUAACUUUUAGGUGAAGAGGCCUAAAUUUAUUUAAGGGACAAGAAGACCCUGUUGAGCUUUAGUGAUGUUGUAAAUGAAAUAAAUAAGUGUUGCUGGUUUGUUAUAUAUUUAUUAUAAUAAAAAUUUACAAAUAAUCUUUAGUUGGGGCGACUGAGGAACAUAGAAAGCUUCCUUAUAAUAUAGUUAUUUAGGUUAUUACGUGAGUAUCAAUGCUUAUGUGUUAUUUUGAUCCAAAUUAUUUUGAUUAAAGGAAAAAGUUACCACAGGGAUAACAGCGUAAUCUUUCUGGAGAGAUCUUAUCGAAAGAAGGGUUUGCGACCUCGAUGUUGGACUAAGAUAUCCUAAGGGUGCAGAAGCUCUUAAAGGUUGGUCUGUUCGACCAUUAAAAUCUU